rnacentral:rRNA from 1 species
UCGGGAAUUUUGGGCAAUGGGGGCAACCCUGAUCCAGCAAUGCCGCGUGAGUGAAGAAGGCCUUCGGGUUGUAAAGCUCUUUUGUCAGGGAAGAAACGGUAGUAGCGAAUAACUAUUACUAAUGACGGUACCUGAAGAAUAAGCACCGGCUAACUACGUGCCAGCAGCCGCGGUAAUACGUAGGGUGCAAGCGUUAAUCGGAAUUACUGGGCGUAAAGCGUGCGCAGGCGGUUGUGUAAGUCAGAUGUGAAAUCCCCGGGCUCAACCUGGGAAUUGCAUUUGAGACUGCACGGCUAGAGUGUGUCAGAGGGGGGUAGAAUUCCACGUGUAGCAGUGAAAUGCGUAGAUAUGUGGAGGAAUACCGAUGGCGAAGGCAGCCCCCUGGGAUAACACUGACGCUCAUGCACGAAAGCGUGGGGAGCAAACAGGAUUAGAUACCCAUGUAGUCCCUGAGCGGGCUGGCAAGGCG